rnacentral:rRNA from 1 species
GGUCAAGUUAUUAAGGGUGCAGGGCGGAUGCCUUGGCACUAGGAGCCGAUGAAGGACGUGAUAAGCUGCGAUAAGCUUCGGGGAGUUGCACGUAAACUUUGAUCCGAAGAUUUCCGAAUGAGGAAACUCACUUAGAGUAAUGUCUAAGUAUCAUUAAGUGAAUACAUAGCUUAAUGAGGGGAACUCAGGGAACUGAAACAUCUAAGUACCUGAAGGAAGAGAAAGAAAUUCGAUUCCGUAAGUAGCGGCGAGCGAACGCGGAUUAGCCCAAACCAAUAAAGUUUUCUUUAUUGGGGUUGCGGACAUAUCAUAACGAAGAGGUAUCGUAAUUGAAGAGGUUUGGAAAGACCCACCACAGAAGGUAAUAGUCCUGUAUGUUAAACGAGAAGACUUCAGAUAUGAUCCAGAGUACCACGGGACACGUGAAACCCUGUGGGAAGCAGGAGGGACCACCCUCCAAGGCUAAAUACUACCUAGUGACCGAUAGCGUAUAGUACCGUGAGGGAAAGGUGAAAAGAACCCCGGGAGGGGCGUGAAAUAGAACCUGAAACCCUGCACUUACAAGCUGUGGAAGCACAUUUCUUGUGUGACCGCGUACUUUUUGUAGAACGGGCCAACGAGUUACGUUAAGUAGCAAGGUUAAGCACUUAAGGUGUGGAGCCGUAGCGAAAGCGAGUUUUAACUGAGCGUUCAGUUACUUGACGUAGACCCGAAACCGGGCGACCUACCCAUGAGCAGGAUGAAGCGAAAGUAAAAUUUCGUGGAGGUCCGAACCCACGAGCGUUGAAAAGCUCGGGGAUGACUUGUGGGUAGCGGUGAAAUUCCAAUCGAGCCCGGAGAUAGCUGGUUCUCCCCGAAAUAGCUUUAGGGCUAGCCUCAAGGUGAGAGAUACGGAGGUAGAGCACUGAAUGUCCUAGGGGGUGUUGCACCUACCGAAGACUAUCAAACUCCGAAUGCCGUCAUCUUAUACUUGGGAGUCAGACUGUGGGUGAUAAGAUUCAUAGUCGAAAGGGCAACAGCCCAGAUCGUCAGCUAAGGUCCCUAAAUGUAAGUUAAGUGGUAAAGGAUGUGGGAUUGCACAGACAACCAGGAUGUUGGCUUAGAAGCAGCCACUCAUUCAAAGAGUGCGUAAUAGCUCACUGGUCGAGUGAUCCUGCGCCGAAGAUUUCCGGGGCUAAAACUUACUACCGAAGCUACGGCAUCAGUAAUGAUGGGUAGGGGAGCUUCCCAUACGGGUUGAAGCAUGACCGUAAGGACAUGUGGACAGUAUGGGAGUGAGAAUGUUGGCAUGAGUAGCGAGAUGUGGGUGAGAAUCCCACAGGCCGUAAACCCAAGGUUUCCAGGGGAAGGUUCGUCCGCCCUGGGUUAGUCGGGACCUAAGCUGAGGCCGAAAGGCGUAGGUGAUGGACAACAGGUUGAUAUUCCUGUACUACCGAUAACCAUUUGAGAGAAGGGAUGACACAGUAGGAUAAGCUAAGCACACUGUUGGUUAUGUGUGCCCAAGCAUUGAGGCAGUCAAAGUAGGCAAAUCCGCUUUGAUAAUGCUGGGAUGUGAUGGGGAGCGAAAUUUAGUAGCGAAGUAGCUGAUUUCACACUGUCAAGAAAAGUCUCUAUCGAGGUUAAAGGUACCCGUACCGCAAACCGACACAGGUGGGUGAGGAGAGUAUCCUAAGGCCAGCGAGAGAACUGUUGUUAAGGAACUCGGCAAAAUGACCCCGUAACUUAGGGAUAAGGGGUGCCACCAUCAGGUGGCCGCAGAGAAUAGGCCCAAGCGACUGUUUACCAAAAACAUAGGUUUCUGCUAAGUCGCAAGACGAUGUAUAGGAGCUGACGCCUGCCCGGUGCUGGAAGGUUAAGGGGAUCUGUUAGAGCAAUCGAAGCAGUGAACUUAAGCCCCAGUAAACGGCGGCCGUAACUAUAACGGUCCUAAGGUAGCGAAAUUCCUUGUCGGGUAAGUUCCGACCCGCACGAAAGGCGUAACGAUUUGGGCACUGUCUCAACAACAGACUCGGUGAAAUUGUAAUUCCGGUGAAGAUGCCGGAUACCUGCGACAGGACGGAAAGACCCCAUGGAGCUUUACUGUAGCUUGACAUUGGGUCUUGGUACUACAUGUACAGGAUAGGUGGGAGGCUUUGAAACCAGGACGCCAGUUUUGGCGGAGCCAUCCUUGGGAUACCACCCUUGUAGUACUGGGACUCUAACCAUAGGCCAUGAAUCUGGUCUUGGGACACUGUCAGGUGGGCAGUUUGACUGGGGCGGUCGCCUCCCAAAAGGUAACGGAGGCGCUCAAAGGUUCUCUCAGUACGGUCGGAAAUCGUACGUAGAGUGUAAAGGCAAAAGAGAGCUUGAUUGCAAGACAUACAGGUCGAGCAAGGAUGAAAAUCGGACUUAGUGAUCCGGUGGUUCUGCGUGGAAGGGCCAUCGCUCAACGGAUAAAAGCUACCCUGGGGAUAACAGGCUUAUCUCCCCCAAGAGUCCACAUCGACGGGGAGGUUUGGCACCUCGAUGUCGGCUCAUCACAUCCUGGGGCUGUAGUAGGUCCCAAGGGUUGGGCUGUUCGCCCAUUAAAGUGGUACGCGAGCUGGGUUCAGAACGUCGUGAGACAGUUCGGUCCCUAUCCGUCGCAGGCGUAGGAAAUUUGAGAAGACCUGUCCUUAGUACGAGAGGACCGGGAUGGACGUACCUCUGGUGUACCAGUUGUUCUGCCAAGGGCAUGGCUGGGUAGCUAUGUACGGAAUGGAUAAGCGCUGAAAGCAUCUAAGCGCGAAGCCAACUUCAAGAUAAGAUUUCCCACCGCAAGGGUAAGACCCCAGAAAGACUAUCUGGUUGAUAGGUCGAAGGUGUAAGUGCAGCAAUGUAUUUAGCUUAUCGAUACUAAUAGGUCGAGGACUUGACCAA